AGUCGAGCGAGAAGGUUUCUUCGGAAACUGGGCAGCGGCGGACGGGUGAGUAACGCGUGGGAAUAUGCCUUUUGGUGGGGGACAACAGUUGGAAACGACUGCUAAUACCGCAUAAGCCCUCUGGUAGUGAUACUGGGGGGGAAAGAUUUAUCGCCAAAAGAUUAGCCCGCGUAAGAUUAGAUAGUUGGUAAGGUAAUGGCUUACCAAGUCUACGAUCUUUAGCUGGUCUGAGAGGAUGAUCAGCCACACUGGAACUGAGACACGGUCCAGACUCCUACGGGAGGCAGCAGUGGGGAAUAUUGCGCAAUGGAGGAAACUCUGACGCAGCCAUGCCGCGUGAGUGAAGAAGGCCUUAGGGUUGUAAAGCUCUUUCAAUAGUGAAGAUGAUGACGGUAACUAUAGAAGAAGCUCCGGCUAACUUCGUGCCAGCAGCCGCGGUAAUACGAAGGGAGCAAGCGUUGUUCGGAAUUACUGGGCGUAAAGGGCGUGUAGGCGGAUUAUUUAGUGAGGGGUGAAAUCCCGGGGCUUAACCUCGGAACUGCCUUUCAUACUGGUAAUCUAGAGUAUGUGAGGGGUUAGUGGAAUAUCCAGUGUAGAGGUGAAAUUCGUAGAUAUUGGAUGGAACACCAGUGGCGAAGGCGACUAACUGGCACAUUACUGACGCUGAGGCGCGAAAGCGUGGGGAGCAGACAGGAUUAGAUACCCUGGUAGUCCACGCCGUAAACGAUGUGAACUAGCCGUCAGGUCUUCGGAUUUGGUGGCGCAGCUAACGCAUUAAGUUCACCGCCUGGGGAGUACGGUCGC
rnacentral:rRNA from 1 species